AGAGAAGACGUGCAAACUCAGCAUCAUCUGGGGUACGUGUCUUACGUGCAGUCAUAAGUAACAUGCAAGAACGGGAAUUGCGAGUUCUUUUUUUGGCAAAAACGGGUAGCUGAAUUUGAAGGACGAAUAUAUCGACAGGUUUUGAGAAUUAUUCGUCCAAAGGUGAUGAUUGCUAAUGCACAAUAUCAUGAUCUUUCUCGAAAUCUGAUGCCAAUAGAACUGUCAAUCUAAAGGUCAACAGUGGUACAGAUUCUCCGUCCAACCCCAGCUGCACCCGUUGCACAAUUACUAGUUGUACCAACUGUUGAGUUACGUAAUAUUGGUGACAUGACCGGACCAGCUCGUUGCGUUGCUUUCAUUCGGUAUCCAUUUAAACGUGUUGUAUUUGGUAAUUACAGUUAUGACAGUGGUGCCAUUACUGAUGGAACUUAUCAUAUGUGUUGUCACGUUGCUGGGGCUCCAGAACAAUCACUACCUGCUGGAACACAUGUUGCUUUGAUUGGUGAUCUCCGUCGUAACAAUUAUGACACAUUAAUUUUACAUGUUGUUAGUAUGGCACAGAUUGAUGUCAUUGAUGGUUAAAUCAUGGAAGCAGCACGCCUUAGAAACGGUUUUAGAGUUAUUCCACGAGGUGCUCUAGUUCAGCAAGUUAAUGGAAUUCAACUUCAGCAAGUCAAUGCAAUUCAUCAACAUAAUGUCGUAGCACCACCACCACCAGCUGUUGUACCUGAACAACAAAUUGCUGAUUAACAAGACAAUGCAGAACAACAACAACAACAGUUAGUUGCACUCGUACCAGCUGCCGUAGUUGCACAAUCACAUGCUGUUCAGAGCAAAGUACUUCUAUUAUUCUAUUAUUAUUAUUUAAAUUAUAUUUUUUUGAUUAAACCCUAAUAUUAAUUUCUCAUUGUGCAAUCACAAGAAGAGCUGCUGAACAGCAAAUUGUUGCUCAACUACAAGUUAAUGCAGUUCAACAUCAACAACAAUUUGGUGUACUAGCACCAGCUGUCAUACCUGCUCAGCAACAUGCUGUUCAAGUACCUGUAAAUAAAAUAAACCAGGUCAUUAUUUUUUUCUUUUUUUUUCAAUAAAUUAAUAUUAAUUUUUGUUUUUUUUUUCAAAACAUUUCACUAGCAGCAUGAUUUUGCACAGCCAGACCAUUAUGAUGAUCAAAUUGACUGUGAUAUUUCUCCAGUUAAUUUUCGACGUGGUCAAAGACCAAGUGCAUCACCAAGUUAACCAAGCAUCAUUAUCACGUCAUCGACCAUUAAUUGAAUGUCGUAGGCAAGCUAUUAAAGCACAAUCUGAUUCAGAUAGUGGUUCUGAUGACAAUGGACAUUCUAUUGUCAUUCAAGAAAGUGACUCUGCUCCUGGAUUUGCACACGACUCUGAAGUUGAUUCAGAACCUGAGACUAAACGGUCUGAAAAGAUGGCAGAUACUUCUGAUGAUCAUUUAUCUGGUGGUGAUUAAUUAUUAUUUUAUUUUACUAUUACUUCUUACU